AGCUCAUUCUGCUCUGACUCACUAAGAAUCAGCUGCUUCUCCACCUCUGACCCCGGCCUGCAGACAGGAAGUGAUGCGUUCAGAGGAGGAAGAGGCGCCGCUCCGUCUUCGGGGAGCGACCCACUCCAGCCUGCUGGGUUCUGGUGAUCGGAUCGGUUCUGAUCCGUGAAUGCAGAUCUGUUCUCCUGUUCUCUGUGCGUCUAUUUCUGGAAGCAGCUUCAUUUCCAGGAACCGGACUCUGUUGCUAGGCAACGAGCCGAAGAUGAAAUGGACACCAGAACUUCCCUCCCGGUUCUGCUGAGUGUGGUGCUGCCGAUCUGUCGGGUCCGCCGGGAAUGCUGGGAGAUGUCUGCCCGUUGCUAGGUUACCUCCCUGUGCCGUGCAAUCAGCCGGCAGGAUGAGGGCGACGCUGCCAGCGCCGGACCACCCUGAAGGGGUCACAGCGGCAGCGGGCCAGCCCCGCCCGCCUGCCACGCCCCGCGGAUUAAAUCAAACACCCCAUCAGUCCGAUUCUCUGGCCAACAUGCAGGAAACUCCUGAUGGUCAGUGAAUGCACCGUUGAUGUUUGUUCUUCCUUCCUUCAUGUUUCAUAAAAACCAGAUGAAGUUUCAGAUUUCAGCUCCUGGUUCGUCACGUUAACUCAGUGACUGACUGAGGUUAGAUCAGUUUACCGCCUGUUUGUCUCGUCUCUUUGUCUCGUCUCUUUGUCUCCACACCAGCCGCCGUAAAUCACCGCCGUAGCAUCGCUGAGGCGGUCGUUAGUGCCGGUCACUGACUUCCUAACGUCACAGCCUGCUGGUGAUGCGUUCAGGAACACAUUUCUCAGCUUAUAAAACCUCAAACUCGCCGAUCAGACACAACAUUUUGUUUGUGAGAUUUUAUGGCUGCAUUCAGAAGAUUGGAAGACAAAAUGGGCAAUAAGUGAGGAGAAAUAUUUACUAAACUUUAGAGACUUUCACUUUUUGACUGUUUUAAAUGUAUUUCUAAUCAUUUUCUCUGGAUUUCAUGAUUUUCUGCCGUUCUGUUGACGUUUUUAAUCUGCAGCAGAACUUGAAGGAUCUUUGCAGGAAACGUUUCCUGAAACUUCCUGCAGCAAAAAAAAAAAAAAAAAUCGAUUCACUAAGAAUCUCAUACAGUUUGGUUCAGAAUCGAUUUUAAAAAUCCCAAAAUCAGUUUAAAAACAAUCAUAAAUCAUGAAGCUGUCGGCCUCCAUUUUGUAUCAAUGUUGCCAUGGAGACGGUACUGGAAAGUAUGCAUGAGCAGAGAAAAAACUACAAGAUAAAAGAAAGAGAGUGAAGGUAAACAUCUGGACGUUUUACAGCCCAUAAGGAGUUUGGUGGGCGGAGCCACGCAGCUGGUGGGCGGAGCCACGUACUGGUGGGCGGAGCCAAUCAGAAGUUUGUUUCUGUGUUUUAUGCUGAAGUGUUGAUGUUUCUCUUUAAAUCGUUUGUUUCCAGGACCUGGUUUGUACCGACAGCAGCAGGAAUCAUCCUGGAUAGUCAUUU